rnacentral:lncRNA from 1 species
AUAGCACUAAAUGCUCUUACUAUGGGAGUGUAAAGCAUACCCGUGAGACCUUCUUCAAGCUUCACGCGUAUCUUGAUUGGUGGCACGAACUCCAAGCUCAGAAGCGCCGUGAUGGUGGUGGGAAUAACAUUGGCAGGGUUAUAGUUGUUGCAGCAAAACCACACAUUCCCCUCAUUCCAGUCGAUAGUUUAAACUCUAACCCAGGUAAUUCUCUAAUUGGGAGGUUGAUUGAAAUGCUUGGAUACUUGAUUUUGGAGUAACGGAUCAUAU